AGGUCUCAUAUCCAUAUUUGAGGUAGGCUUUUUAUUAUGUGAUCAUUUUCUUUACAGAAAGGAUCAGGAAAUGACAUUUGUAUGAGAAACACAAGGAGAAUCAUGAGGAGAAAUAGAAAUAGUUCUAAAAUAACCUGAGAGAAAAUCUGUCAGAAAAAAGUGCAUUAAAAAGGAUACAUAAAGUUUUGAGAGGACUGGAGUAAAAUCACACCUCACUCUCAGAGGAAAGAAGACAGACUAUAGAAUGCAAAUUGAUAGAGAUGAGAAGCUAUAAAUUGUGAGAAGGAAACAAGAGCCAAUGAAACUGAGAAGAUAACAAGAAUUAAGCACUGUUCAGACCAGGGACCAGUCUCAAUAGAUCAUUCAGUCAGUCUCUGGAGGACAUUGUUGAUAGAUGAAAUUGUCCAAAUCGUCCAGGUGCAUGUUCUACUAUCUUGAAUGGGUCCCACCCAAAGAAGAACUAGAUAAUCUAGUCUACUUGAAUCUAGUCUACUUGAAUUCUUCACUCUAUCAGGAAGCACCUGUAAGAAUAUGAGCUAUUGAAUGAUUUGCUAACACAUACUAUUUUCAAAAUUAAAAAGUAUAUACAUAUACAACCUUCUUAGAAGAUAUAUUAGAGAAACACUUCUCUCCCCCUUACCCUUAUAGAAACUUUUUAACAUAUGUACAUAAAUACAUAUAUGUAUGUGUUUAUUUAUAUCAUAUAUUAAUGUAUCAAACUCAAAUACCUACAUAUAUGUAUAUAUGUGUAAAUAUACACAUAUGUAUACAUACAUAUAAUCACAUUUACAGUUAGUCAAACAAAGUAAAAGAAUACAUUGUCCAUGUAUGGGGUAAGCAACUUUCAUUCUUCUGUUCUCAUUCAUCAACCUCUGCCAAAAAUUGGGAAAGAUAGAUACAUUUUUUAAAGUGGAGUAUUAAUAAAACAUUUUUAAAAAGGGAAACAAAACCUAGAGAACAAAACAGACUUACUAAGGCUAAGGAUAUUCCUUGGGGAGAGAAGAAUUAGGCUGGAGUUAACUUUUCUGGAUAGUAACAUCCUUUCCAUUGUUUUUUUGGGGGGAGGUUUAAAAGGAAACUACUUUAAGGGGAAGGCCAAGGGUAUUGAUUGAAGAGAAAACCAUGUCUAAGAAGGAUCAGGGAAUUAGUGGGCCAGAGCAUAGCAUAUGAGGAUGGGGUCAAGUUAAGAAGGAGUAGCUAGCUCUCUUUUUCAAUUAAAUUCUUUCAACUGUCAACAACUGUUAAACUGAGAAGAAUCAUACAGGACUGAAUAGGCAAGAAUGAUUUAAUUCAAUUCAGUACAGGCUAAUAAACAUUUAAGUACCUAAAUAUUCUGGGAUACAUCACGGAAGGGGAAAAAAAGUGCUUCUUAGCAAUUUGAUUUUAAAAUAUAAUGAAAAUGCAUACUUUUGCCUUAAGGAAAGAAGACAUUUUCUCAGUUGAAAUUCUAAAUAAAAUGAAAAUUGCAGGGUCCAUUGAUAAUGCAGAAGGUAAAGAUCAAAAGAUACAUGAAAGUACAGGCAACUUUUCUUCAAGAAGAGAUGAAGCAAUAGGACAGAGAGGAUAACUUGAACACAUCUUGUAUAUGCACAUAAUAAUUUUUUUCCUAGAAAUGUCACUAUUACUUAAGAUAGUAUAUAGUUGCAAGUUUUUUUUUAAAAAAACAAGUAUUUUUUAUUUAAAAGUGAAUAAUCUUCUUUAUCAUCUUUUCCAAUCCAACACCAAGUAGUGAAUAAUAUUAAAAAUUUAGUGAACAAUUUUUAAAAACCUAAUUUAAUUAACUUUUAUUUGCUACAUAUAUUUCUUCUCUCUUUUAAAGGGUACUAUGAAUUUGUCUUAGUUUAAAUCUCAUUCCUAGAAUCACAGGUAUUAAGACAAAAACCCAGAUAGUAUAACUUCCAUUUUACAGAUGAGGAAAUUGAAGUCCUCUUUAGUGAUUUGCCUUAAUAAAAUGGAGGCAGAGCACAAUGAUUUUCCCAAAUUCAUUCAGCUACUAAUUUUUGUUAACCAGUGUUCCUUUCAAUGUCUCACAAUGAAAUUCCUCAUGAUCCUCCUAGAAGACUAAUUGGCCAUAUGGUCAAGAUGCCUUAAAUAAUUUUGCUUUUUGGUCAGUUAACAUCAUUUCAAAAAUCAGCAAUCCACGAGUGCCUAUGCUCCUGCAAUGACAAGUUUAGUUGAUUAUUUCAUCAAUGCAACAAUGCUAAUGCUUACUAAUUCAGGAAUCAAAAAAAAAAAAAAAAGAUAGCAUGGAUCACUUCCUUCUGUUGACUUCCCCCGAGGACCAUCUCCAGGGAUCCUGAUCUACAUCUUGCUAUUGGAGAUGACACUGGAGGAGAAAAUGAGACUUGUGCCUUUGCACCACCUACUCUCAAUUAAAUCCAAUUCAUGUGUAUGUCCCGACAUCACCUCCCUAAUGUCAUGGUUUUCUUUGAGAAUAAAGCCUUGCCAUCUCCUACCCACUGCCUCCUUUGAAUGGACAAAGGAAAGAAUGAGAGUAUCUUUGCCUCAAUGAUUGGAGUGAGAACUCUGCAAUGCCAAGUCAGGAUAGAGAACCAAGUGCUCAAUUCUUUGAUGCAGUAGUUAUAAGAUAGGAGUUUCCAUUGAAAAUCUCCAAGUAGUAUUUCCCUGAAGACACAACCAGAAGCACUUACAGGCUUUGCCACACAUCAGGUCAAGAUAACCCAAGAAGGUUUUGGUUGUUGAUAAUAGAAGAGAAAGUCCUGUCCAGUGAUUGCCAAUUGAUACUUGGUAUACAUUUUACUUGAUUCCAUUUCCAGUUCCUCAGGGCAGGGAACAUUCUGAUUUUGUCUAUAUAUUCCCAGCACCUUGGACAGGGCUUUGGGCACAGAAGGUCAUUAAUAAAGACAUAAAUAAUUUUAGGUUUCUUGAUUUGAUCUGAAUAUGCUGUGAUACAAAGAACACUGGAUUUAAGGUAGUGUAACCCUAGUGGUUAUUUUUGGAGGCAGCUGGGUAGCUCAGUGGAAAGAGCACUGGGCCCAGAGUCAGAAAGACAUGAGGUGAAAUCUGAUUUCAGACACUAGCUAUGUGACUCUGAGCAAGUCAUUCAAUCUCUCUUUGCCUUAAUCCAC